UUAUUUUUUACGACGUCUGGAAUUUUCAAUUCUCGAUGGACUGUUGUUGUUGAGCUUGAACACAUCGUUUUAAUAAGAAAUCACCGUGUGGAUAAUAAUAAUAGUAUUAAUCAAGGUAACAGAGGGCGCAAUACAAAUAUAAACGGCCUUCCCAGAAUCGUAUUUAGUGGUAUAUAUUUGACAAACAAAAGAGCAUAAGUGUGAAAUAUAAAGAGACGAAUAUUUAAGAGCACAUCGGUGUAUGAAACAAAGAAAGGAAAUAAGAGGCCGCGUAGAAAGGACUGGCUGGAUGGCAGAGCUCUGACAUUUGAUCGAGUAAGAAAGAAAAAGGAAAUAAAAGAAGAAGAAGGAAAGAAAGAGAGAGAGAGAGGGAGAAACUCUGUCAACAACGAAGAUUUAUCUCUUUGUAACUGCGGAAUAACUAAGAGUACGAGAAGAAGCAGUGAAAAGAAAGUUGUAAAUAAUUAUGUGAUAAGUGUUACGGAUCUGGCGAUCUCACUAACGAUUCUUCAAAAAUAAGUUCUUCAUAUCCCUUUUCGACACAAUAUAAUUGGUGCUCCGGAAUUCUCAACUCCUUAGAGUUCUUUGAUUUAAUACGUGAAGGACACUUGGACGUUUGAGUUCAAUAAAAGAAA
rnacentral:lncRNA from 1 species